GACGCGGCCACGAGGGGGCCGAGCAGGGAGCAGCGGCUGCGGCGGCGGGGAGGCUCCGGGGAGGUGCGUACUGGACUCCUUUUCUCCCGCGGCCUCCAAGGGAUCGAUUUGGGGAGCCGGGCUCUGGAGGGAGGGGGUGUUGUCGCUGGCUGCAGACGCCUACCCAAGCUGGGGUCCCUGUGCCCACGCGAACGGGACCCGGUUAAGCUUCCCUCGAGAACCCGCCCCUUUGCCGGGGCGCGGUGGUCAGGUGGUUUGCCCGCACAGCAACGACUCGCAGCCGCUCUCUCGGCCCGGCGCACCCUCCCAGGCUUUCCUUGGCAUGAUCCCCUUAAUUGUCCUAGCUCCAGCCUUCACCAAGCCGGCGUCCCUCAGGCCGGGGAGCGUGGCUCUCUUUCCAGAUGUUACAGCCUUGCCCGAGUCUCUCAGCGCGCCCGUGGCAUUUGGGUAGACCGCGGAGGCCCCAGAUGGAUAGCCAGAGGGUGCCACGUUCCUGCCGGGGCUCAUCCCAAAGUCUGGACAAUCAAACACCCAAGGAGAGCUCUGGAUGAAGUGUUGCCCACCCUUCCCCUCCCCCUCCUGCCCCCCCCCCCGCCCUGGCCAGUCACCAGACCCUGGACCUUGAUCUCUCUCCCCAACCAGGCCAGGGCAGCUGAUGAUUGUGGCCGAAAUAUCUCAAGGUAGCUGGGCCUGCCCCCUCUUCCCCACCUACCUGUUGUCCUUACCCCCAAACUACCACCACCCUGGCUCCACUCCCUCAUGACCGCCUGGAUCCUCCUUCCUGUCAGCCUGUCAGCCUUCUCCAUCACGGGCAUAUGGACUGUGUGAGUAAAAAGGGUGUGGGUUGAGGGGGGCCUAAUAGGAGUUUGAUGGCACACACAAAGUCCCUUGUCCUGUUUGUAGGCUCCAGAAUGGUACCCAGGGUCACUCUUUCUGUCUCCAAAGCUUGGCCCGAUUCCUGGGCACACAGUCUCUUGG
rnacentral:lncRNA from 1 species